AGUGAACGCUGGCGGUAGGCCUAACACAUGCAAGUCGAACGGCAGCACAGUAAGCGCUUGCUCUUACGGGUGGCGAGUGGCGGACGGGUGAGGAAUACAUCGGAAUCUACUUUUUCGUGGGGGAUAACGUAGGGAAACUUACGCUAAUACCGCAUACGACCUACGGGUGAAAUCAGGGGAUCUUCGGACCUUGCGCGACUGAAAUAGCCGAUGCCGGAUUAGCUAGUUGGCGGGGUAAAGGCCCACCAAGGCGACGAUCCGUAGCUGGUCUGAGAGGAUGAUCAGCCACACUGGAACUGAGACACGGUCCAGACUCCUACGGGAGGCAGCAGUGGGGAAUAUUGGACAAUGGGCGAAAGCCUGAUCCAGCCAUACCGCGUGGGUGAAGAAGGUCUUCGGGUUGUAAAGCCCUGUUGUUGGGAAAGAAAAGCAGCAGGUUAAUACCCCGCUGUUCUGACGGUACCCAAAGAAUAAGCACCGGCUAACUUCGUG
rnacentral:rRNA from 1 species